rnacentral:rRNA from 1 species
AUGACGCUGGCGCCAGGCCUAACACAUGCAAGUCGAACGGUAGCACACAGAGCUUGCUCUCGGGUGACGAGUGGCGGACGGGUGAGUAAUGUCUGGGAAACUGCCCGAUGGAGGGGGAUAACUACUGGAAACGGUAGCUAAUACCGCAUAAUGUCGCAAGACCAAAGAGGGGGACCUUCGGGCCUCUUGCCAUCGGAUGUGCCCAGAUGGGAUUAGCUUGUAGGUGGGGUAACGGCUCACCUAGGCGACGAUCCCUAGCUGGUCUGAGAGGAUGACCAGCCACACUGGAACUGAGACACGGUCCAGACUCCUACGGGAGGCAGCAGUGGGGAAUAUUGCACAAUGGGCGCAAGCCUGAUGCAGCCAUGCCGCGUGUAUGAAGAAGGCCUUCGGGUUGUAAAGUACUUUCAGCGAGGAGGAAGGCGUUGAGGUUAAUAACCUCAGCGAUUGACGUUACUCGCAGAAGAAGCACCGGCUAACUCCGUGCCAGCAGCCGCGGUAAUACGGAGGGUGCAGCGUUUAUCGGAAUUUACUGGGCGUAAAGCGCACGCAGCCGUCUGUCAAGUCCGAUGUGAAUCCCCGGCUCACCUGGGACUGCAUCCAAACUGGCAGCUUA